rnacentral:rRNA from 1 species
AUAGCUCAACUAUUAGGCUUUCGGGGGAUACUGCCAGGCUUGGAACCGGGAGAGGUAAGAGGUACUACAGGGGUAGGAGUGAAAUCUUGUAAUCCCUGUGGGACCACCUGUGGCGAAGGCGUCUUACCAGAACGGGUUCGACGGUGAGGGACGAAAGCUGGGGGCACGAACCGGAUUAGAUACCCGGGUAGUCCCAGCCGUAAACGAUGCUCGCUAGGUGUCAGGCACGGUGCGACCGUUUCUGGUGCCGCAG